rnacentral:tRNA from 1 species
CACGGCGUAGCUCAGCUGGAUAGAGCGCCUCGCUUUCGACCGGGUAGUGCGUAGCACCGCUAUCUAGGGGCGAGGAGGCCGCGGGUUCAAGUCCCGCCGCCGUUGCCA